rnacentral:rRNA from 1 species
CUCAGGACGAACGCUGGCGGCGUGCUUAACACAUGCAAGUCGAACGGGGUUAACGGAGAGCUUGCUCGAAGUUAACCGAGUGGCGGACGGGUGAGUAACGCGUGAGCAACCUGUCUCAUACAGGGGGAUAACGCACCGAAAGGUGUGCUAAUACCGCAUAAGACCACGCUACCGCAUGGUAGAGAGGUCAAAGGAGCAAUCCGGUAUGAGGUGGGCUCGCGUCUGAUUAGCUAGUUGGUGAGGUAACGGCCCACCAAGGCGACGAUCAGUAGCCGACCUGAGAGGGUGAUCGGCCACAUUGGAACUGAGACACGGUCCAAACUCCUACGGGAGGCAGCAGUGGGGAAUAUUGGGCAAUGGGCGCAAGCCUGACCCAGCAACGCCGCGUGAGGGAAGAAGGUUUUCGGAUUGUAAACCUCUGUCCUAGGUGAAGAGGAGAAGACGGUAGCCUAGGAGGAAGCCCCGGCUAACUACGUGCCAGCAGCCGCGGUAAUACGUAGGGGGCGAGCGUUGUCCGGAAUGAUUGGGCGUAAAGGGCGUGUAGGCGGUCCGGUAAGUCUGGAGUGAAAGUCCUGCUUUUAAGGUGGGAAUUGCUUUGGAUACUGUCGGACUUGAGUGCAGGAGAGGUUAUCGGAAUUCCCGGUGUAGCGGUGAAAUGCGUAGAGAUCGGGAGGAACACCAGUGGCGAAGGCGGGGUAACUGGACUGUAACUGACGCUGAGGCGCGAAAGUGUGGGGAGCAAACAGGAUUAGAUACCCUGGUAGUCCACGCUGUAAACGAUGGACACUCGUUGUCGGCGAUAGAAUGUCGGCGGCCAAGCGAAAGUGAUAAGUGUCCCACCUGGGGAGUACGGUCGCAAGGCUGAAACUCAAAGGAAUUGACGGGGGCCCGCACAAGCGGUGGAGCAUGUGGUUUAAUUCGAUGAUACGCGAGGAACCUUACCCGGGUUAGAACGCAUUCCGGAUAUAUCCGAAAGGGUAUAGUCUUCGGACGGGAUGCGAGGUGCUGCAUGGUUGUCGUCAGCUCGUGCCGUGAGGUGUCGGGUUAAGUCCCAUAACGAGCGCAACCCCUACCCUCAGUUGCCAGCUGGUAAAGCAGGGGACUCUGGGGGAACUGCCACCGCAAGGUGUGAGGAAGGGGGGGAUGACGUCAAAUCAGCACGGCCCUUACGUCCGGGGCGACACACGUGUUACAAUGGUGGGUAC